AGACCUAUGAAGGUCGAAGGGGAAGAAAAGCUGUAUCGAUUGUUGAGAUCUGGCGACUUGUUUAAAUUUCAUCAGCCUCACUUCUAUGAACUCUCAGAGCUGAUUACCAACUCCUACCACUGUUAACCCUCAUCCAGGAACAAGCUUAUGUCUUUAACAUUCUGAGUGGGCUUCAGCAUCCUUGCAUAUGUUCAAUUCUUAAAAACCUGUUGAAAUAAAAGAUCAGGAGACAUAGGAAGGAUGCCAGAAGAGAGCGUGGCCUCACGUGUACCAGCUCUCUGCUCUCCUUUGCCUUGGGACGUUCCAUCCCUGGAAGUUUCCCUGCCCACAUCUUUGUAGAGAGUCCAUUCUCCAAGCUUCAGUGUGUCAUCUGUGAGGACCGUGACCCACCUGGUACAUCGCCUCAGGGCAUUCAUUUCAGGCUCCUUCUAAAUGGCCAAGAUCAAGCAUAUCCACAGAUGGGAUGAAGAGAAUGAUUCAGCUGCUUCUCAAAAUCCCUACCUCAUUGGCAAGGACUUUUCAACUGUGGCUGCGCCUAAGACAAUUUUAGCAAAAACCAUGUGGGAAAAAUGUAGGAAAUUGUUAGUGCCCAAUAUACAGACGAUAGCAAUACAAGGUGCAAUCUAAAAAGGAAGAUAAUUAACAGCCAUAUGGGUAACUUCAGUUCAUAUUUUUGCAAAGAACUUUGGGAAUAUUGACUCAUGGAAAUGGAGCCUGUGUAAGACACAAAUGAUACUUUUGAACAUCUGCCAGCAAGUAUGUCAACUACCUGUCCAAGAAAAUAAAGAACUAUUGUUGCUCCA
rnacentral:lncRNA from 1 species